UACGUAGGGUGCGAGCGUUAAUCGGAAUUACUGGGCGUAAAGCGUGCGCAGGCGGUUUUGUAAGCCAGAUGUGAAAUCCCCGGGCUUAACCUGGGAAUGGCAUUUGGGACUGCAAGGCUCGAGUGCGGCAGAGGAGACUGGAAUUCCUGGUGUAGCAGUGAAAUGCGCAGAUAUCAGGAGGAACACCAGCGGCGAAGGCGGCGCUCUGGGCCGGAACUGACGCUGAGGAGCGAAAGCGUGGGUAGCAAACAGG
rnacentral:rRNA from 1 species